rnacentral:tRNA from 1 species
GAGGGUAUAGCUCAGUGGUGGAAUGCACACUUAGCAUGCAUAAGGUCCUGGGUUCAAUCCCCAGUACCUUUG